UACGAAGGUGGCAAGCGUUACUCGGAAUUACUAGGUGUAAAGCGCAGGUAGGUGGUUGGGUAAGUCCGUCAUGAAAUCUCCCGGCUUAACCGGGAGGGGCUGAUGGAUACUGCCUGGCUAGAGUGUGGGAGAGGUAACUGGAAUUCCACGUGUAGCGGUGAAAUGCGUAGAGAUGUGGAGGGACACCAGUGGCGAAGGCGACUCUUUGGCCUAUAACUGACGCUGAGGCGCGAAAGCGUGGGGAGCAAACAGG
rnacentral:misc_RNA from 1 species